UACGUAGGGGGCUAGCGUUGUCCGGAAUCAUUGGGCGUAAAGCGCGUGUAGGCGGUCCGGUAAGUCCGCUGUGAAAGUCGGGGGCUCAACCCUCGAAAGCCGGUGGAAACUGUCGGGCUAGGGUGCGGAAGAGGCGAGUGGAAUUCCUGGUGUAGCGGUGAAAUGCGCAGAUAUCAGGAGGAACACCAAUUGCGAAGGCAGCUCGCUGGGACGUUACUGACGCUGAGACGCGAAAGCGUGGGGAGCAAACAGG
rnacentral:rRNA from 1 species